AUACGUAGGGGGCGAGCGUUGUCCGGAAUGAUUGGGCGUAAAGGGCGCGUAGGCGGCCUGUUAAGUCUGGAGUGAAAGUCCUGUUUUCAAGAUGGGAAUUGCUUUGGAUACUGAUGGGCGUGAGUGCAGGAGAGGUUAUCGGAAUUCCUGGUGUAGCGGUGAAAUGCGUAGAGAUCGGGAGGAACACCAGUGGCGAAGGCGGGUAACUGGACUGCAACUGACGCUGAGGCGCGAAAGUGUGGGGAGCAAACAGGAUUAGAUACCCUGGUAGUCCACACUGUAAACGAUGAAUGCUAGGUGUAAGAGGUAUCGACCCCUUUUGUGCCGGAGUUAACACAAUAAGCAUUCCGCCUGGGGAGUACGGCCGCAAGGUUGAAACUCAAAUGAAUUGGCGGGG
rnacentral:rRNA from 1 species